CAUGGAGGGUGAGAAUCCCGUCCGGUUGAUCAUUUGCGUUUUACGAUACGCUUUCUAAGAGUCAAGUUGUUUGGGAUUGCAGCUUAAAAUGGGAGGUAAAUUUCUCCUAAGGCUAAAUAACGGCGAGAGACCGAUAGCGAACAAGUACCGUGAGGGAAAGAUGAAAAGAACUUUGAAAAGAGAGUUAAACAGUACGUGAAAUUGUUGAAAGGGAAACGAUUGAAGCCAGUCGUACCUUCGGGUAAUCAGCCUUUCGGGUGCGAUUCUGUGGAGUGUGAGGAGCUUAACACCUUCAUGCUUUGCAUAUUUGUGCUCUUGGGUGUACUUGCCCGUGUGGUUGGUUAACAUCAAUUUUGGUUAUCAUAAAAUGAUUGGAGGAAUGUAGCUUCGAUCUCGUAUUGAAGUGUUAUAGCCUUCGGUAGAUGUGAUGAUCGAGAUUGAGGAUUGCAACGGAUACCCUUCGGGGCUACCUGUCUGGUCUCUGAUCGUUGCUCUGGUGCCGAAAGCUUGCUUACGGUUAUCAAAGUCGAUGGUCAAUAGGUUAGAACGGGUUAAAUUCGUUAAGGAUGUUGACGUAAUG
rnacentral:rRNA from 1 species